GACGAACGCUGGCGGCGUGCCUAACACAUGCAAGUCGAGCGGAGCGGCGAACGGGUGAGUAACGCGUGAGUAACUGCCCCCCUCUCUGGGAUAACAGUUGGAAACGGCUGCUAAUACCGGAUAGUGGGGGAUGACUCGCGUCCUAUCAGCUUGUUGGUGGGGUAGUGGCCGACCAAGGCGACGACUGGUAGCCGGCCUGAGCGGGCGACCGGCCACAUUGGGCUACGGUACGGCCCAGUGUCCUACGGGGGGCAGCAGUGGGGAGUAUGGCACAGUGGUGGCGACCCUGAUGCGGCGGCGCCGCGUUCGGGAUGACGGCCUUGGGGUUGUAAACCGCUUUCAGCCAUGACGCGGUAGUGGCAGAAGAAGCACCGGCUAACUACGUGCCAGCAGCCGCGGUAAUUC
rnacentral:rRNA from 1 species